GGACGCAUUGUGAAUAAUCGACACUUUAUCUACUCGUCUUGUCCAUACCGACACGUUUUUAUCGUCUGAUCCACCGAAUUCUGGUAUUUGCGAGGCCAAUCAGCUGACUGCGUUUCCCGCCGGGAUUCAGGACUGCUGGGGCCUACUACCCCUUCGUCUCGGCCAAGCGGCCCGUUACCUUGCCUAGGCGUCAGCUGUUGGACGAUCUGCAGCAUGAACUGCUGUUGCUACUGCUGCAGCUCCUGUUGCUGGCACAGGAUCGACGUGGAGAUGUCCGUCAUCGCCUGGCGGAACAUCUCUAUAGUCAUCGGCUCUUCUUCGGCGGCUCGCCUCGAGGACGACGCUGCCGGAACGUGGACUUCGUCAUCCGCGGCGUCUCCAACGUCCUCUCAGUAGGUCCUGAUCUCUCGAACUCUUCUCGGUUCAUCAUAGAACGAGUUUUCGGCAUCCUUCUGCUCGACACGACUCCGACAACGAUUUUCGGCUUAUUCGACCGGAUGCGGACUUGAAGAACCCGAAUCCCACUUCUGAAGUUGAAAGGUACUCGUAUUGGUUUUUCGACAACGACUCGACGAUCGAUUUUCCGGCCUGACAAAAAUGUAAUUUUCAAUAAAAGUCUUAUGAAAAUUC